rnacentral:rRNA from 1 species
AAGCUGGAAUCGCUAGUAAUCGCGAAUCAGAAUGUCGCGGUGAAUACGUUCCCGGGUCUUGUACACACCGCCCGUCACACCAUGGGAGUCGGAAAUGCCCGAAGUCAGUGACCCAACCGUAAGGAGGGAGCUGCCGAAGGUGGAGCCGGUAACUGGGGUGAAGUCGUAACAAGGUAUC